rnacentral:rRNA from 1 species
GACGAACGCUGGCGGCGUGCUUAACACAUGCAAGUCGAACGGUAAGGCCCCAGCUUGCUGGGGUACACGAGUGGCGAACGGGUGAGUAACACGUGGGUGACCUGCCCCGCACUUCGGGAUAAGCCUGGGAAACUGGGUCUAAUACCGGAUAGGACCGCACCGUGAGGGUGUGGUGGAAAGUUUUUCGGUGUGGGAUGGGCCCGCGGCCUAUCAGCUUGUUGGUGGGGUAAUGGCCUACCAAGGCGGCGACGGGUAGCCGGCCUGAGAGGGUGGACGGCCACAUUGGGACUGAGACACGGCCCAGACUCCUACGGGAGGCAGCGGUGGGGAAUAUUGCACAAUGGGCGGAAGCCUGAUGCAGCGACGCCGCGUGGGGGAUGACGGCCUUCGGGUUGUAAACUCCUUUCACCAUCGACGAAGGUUUUCUGACGGUAGAUGGAGAAGAAGCACCGGCUAACUACUU